GACGAACGCUGGCGGCGUGCUUAACACAUGCAAGUCGAACGGUAAGGCUCCAGCUUGCUGGGGUACACGAGUGGCGAACGGGUGAGUAACACGUGGGUGACCUGCCCUGCACUUCGGGAUAAGCCUGGGAAACUGGGUCUAAUACCGGAUAGGACCAUGGUGUGGAUACUGUGGUGGAAAGUUUUUUCGGUGUGGGAUGGGCCCGCGGCCUAUCAGCUUGUUGGUGGGGUAAUGGCCUACCAAGGCGGCGACGGGUAGCCGGCCUGAGAGGGUGGACGGCCACAUUGGGACUGAGACACGGCCCAGACUCCUACGGGAGGCAGCAGUGGGGAAUAUUGCACAAUGGGCGGAAGCCUGAUGCAGCGACGCCGCGUGGGGGAUGACGGCCUUCGGGUUGUAAACUCCUUUCACCAUCGACGAAGGGUUUCUGACGGUAGAUGGAGAAUAAGCACCGGCUAACUACGU
rnacentral:rRNA from 1 species